UUUCUGACAAUUUUUCCUUUUUUACUAGAUGAGAACGCUGAGCCGAAGAGCCAGUACUCUGAACUCAACAGCAGAUUCCAUGAGUUAGAAAUUGAAUAUCGCAGUCUAGAAAACGAACGUGAAGAGUUGGCUUUCACAUACAAAGAAAUUCAGAGGCUGCUCGCAAAGCCGAAGAACAUCGCGUUCAACGCAUGUAAUUGCAUCAGCUAAGAUGAACCAAGCCAUCUCGAUAUGGAACACCGACUUACCGAUAAGGAGGAAGAGCUCGAGUCUAUCAAGAAGCAAAUGUCGGCAAAUGUCUAUAUCGAAAUCGACCAGUUGAACUCUCGUCUUGUCCAUGCGGAAACCAAGUUGAAAACCGAAAUUCAGCGCAUCCGGAAGAAGAUGAUGAUCACAAUCACCGAGUUGGAAAUGACAUCCGACGUUGCCAACAAAAACAACAUAUCGAGCAAUCCCUGCAAAUUGUCGUAAAUUUUUAGGCAGCCAUCCAA